CAGUCGCCGCGGGAAUACGAAGGGUGCAAGCGUUACUCGGAAUUACUGGGCGUAAAGCGUGCGUAGGUGGUGGUUUAAGUCCGUUGUGAAAGCCCUGGGCUAACCUGGGAAUUGCAGUGGAUACUGGGUCACUAGAGUGUGGUAGAGGAUAGUGGAAUUUCCGGUGUAGCAGUGAAAUGCGUAGAGAUCGGAAGGAACAUCUGUGGCGAAGGCGACUAUCUGGGCCAACACUGACACUGAGGCACGAAAGCGUGGGGAGCAAACAGGAUUAGAUACCCCAGUAGUCCCUGUCUCUUAUACA
rnacentral:rRNA from 1 species